CUAGCGAGACACUUCUCGGCACUGCAGCCCAUACUUGUAGAAUCCGUAUGUCUCCAUGGAUUAGAGAAGCCACAUGUGAGCUGCUUGCUCGUGGCCAUCUGAGAUUCCCAACGACUAAGUCUCAUAGUCUGCUGGAACCGUAGCAGGCUGUGAAAAACCUUUUUCUGAUCAAACUUCUCACAGAAUGCUUUUUACUGUCCUGUCUUGGCAACUCUCCGUGUCAGAACCACCGGGGCUGAUGCUGAGCAGCGUGUAGCGAUACAUCUGGGAUGUGAUGGUGAUGGUCUGGUGCGUCGCUGCUGCCCUGGCGUAUCUGUGUUGAAGAACGCUGAAAGAUCCAACUUCCAUGAUUUUUAUCAUUAUUAUAUUAAUUAUUCCAACCCCAUUUACCAAUUGAUUUGAAAUGUUAUAGAGUCAUAACCUGAAAUCACACAGAUAACAUUUGCAUCUCGU